rnacentral:rRNA from 1 species
UACGGAGGGGGCUAGCGUUGUUCGGAAUUACUGGGCGUAAAGCGCACGUAGGCGGCUUUGUAAGUUAGAGGUGAAAGCCCAGGGCUUAACCCUGGAAUUGCCUUUAAGACUGCAUCGCUAGAAUCGUGGAGAGGAGAGUGGAAUUCCCAGUGUAGAGGUGAAAUUCGUAGAUAUUGGGAAGAACACCAGUGGCGAAGGCGACUUACUGGACACAUAUUGACGCUGAGGUGGCGAAAAGCGUGGGGAGCAAACACGG